ACUUCGCACUUCCAAAUCACCAAACGCUUCCAAAUCACCAAACGCGUUCUGCUUUCAAAAGCCCCAAUCGCACUUCGUUCACAAAUACAAAAACCCUAAAUGAAUUCUGAUUUUAAUUUCCCCAACGUUCACAAAUACAAAGCCCCAAUGUCUUUGACACGUCACAACCACUACUGUGACUCAUUUGCCACGUUUUACUUAUCUAGUGCCAAAUAAUCAGCCACUUAACGCCGUUAGUGUGUAUUUAACGGAGAUGACUACUUUGACACAAAUUUUUUCAAUGUUUGGAUUCAAUUGACACUUUUACACCACGUGAGGAUGACAAUGAAACUUUUUUAAAAAUGAGGAUGAAUUUGACACAAUUCAACCAAAGUGGGGACAAAGGAAGCAAUUAAGCCUAAUAAUAAUAAUAAUAAUAAAUAUAAAAGUAAUAAAAUUUUCUAGUAUUUUAAGUUGUUAAACAAACUAAGUGAUUUGUCCUGUGUCUAAAUAUUAAAAUAUUGGCUUAAUUAGGGUGAAUACAUAAUAAAUUUUCGAAAGUAUUAAUUGAAUACUUAUUGUAAGACCUUGGAAAAUUAACCCAAAAACCCACCUGUCAAAUCAACAUUAAUGCACUAAAACCUUGCUUAGACAUUUAAAACGCACUUAGAAAACCCUCUGAGCGCUCGCCAGGUGUCAAAAAUGGAACGUUCGAAAAUCAGUAGUGGAAGACAGGUGUCAGUAUGAGAGUGCGCGUUCGUUUUGCCUGGGAAAGAAAAAUGAUUUUUCUGAAACACUUCUUUCCACUCUCUGCAUGCACCCUUCUUCCUCCCGAAACCUGACUUUUCAUUUUCUCAUCCUUCUCUCUAGAAAGAUUCCAUCUUCUCUCUACUAUAACUCACCACUCUUUUCUCCGAUCAACAUUCAGAAACCGUAGGAUCGUUCCCUGAGUCGUGAGCUUUAAUUUGGACCGAACAGUUUCAGAAUCUGAAGCUGAUUAAGUUGGAAUUGUUAAGUGAUCGUGUGGAUAGAAAGCUGUGAGCGGACGAACCAAAACCUUGCGUAUUGAACGUUUCAGUCACGAAUCCUGGAAAAUUUUGGAAAUAUAAUUUGGGACAUUUGGAAGGUUGUCACUUAAUUCAAGACUCUUCAUAAAAGAAGUGUGCACAAGAAAGAGGACACUAUGAUGAUUUUACUCUUUGGCCCUUUGAGAAAGGGGUGCUUCAAUUGAAAAAGGGGGUGCGUCCAGCAAGCACAGGCUUCAAUUAUUACAUCCAACAGCGGUCCAGCACGGGAGUCCAGCUUGGCAGCAGCAAAGAAGAACGGCGUCCAGCAAAAAUGAGAGGGCACACGAGGGUUUAAAAACCCUUGGAGGAGAAAAAAGAGUGGGGCUUUGAUUUUUGGUAGAGAAGAAUGUAAGAGGUGUGCACGGUGAUUGUUGGGGAAGUGUGUGCUCCAACCGCCACCUAGGGAGAAGUUCAUUUAUUUGGCAAAGAGAAAUGCUGCACGGAGAUUCAAGGGAAGAGAUUCAUAUAUUUUAUUUCAUUUCUUUAGUGAAGCACAUGUUUUACGGUUGAUUUCUUUUCCUCGUUCAAGUAGGAAGCUUGCAUUCAUUUCUUUACUUUAGGAAAAGCUCAUAUCCAUCACGCUGGCAGUAGUGCACGCGGGUUGCUUCAGCAGAUUUUUCUAUUCCUUCUUUUAUUUAAACUUGAACCAUGAAGUAUCUUUUAUAUUCUGAUAUUACUGGAUGCAUCAUUUAAGAAGCUACUCAUUUUACAUUGUUUUUU